AACGUAGGUCACAAGCGUUGUCCGGAAUUACUGGGUGUAAAGGGAGCGCAGGCGGGAAGACAAGUUGGAAGUGAAAUCCAUGGGCUCAACCCAUGAACUGCUUUCAAAACUGUUUUUCUUGAGUAGUGCAGAGGUAGGCGGAAUUCCCGGUGUAGCGGUGGAAUGCGUAGAUAUCGGGAGGAACACCAGUGGCGAAGGCGGACUACUGGGCACCAACUGACGCUGAGGCUCGAAAGUGUGGGUAGCAAACAGG
rnacentral:rRNA from 1 species